rnacentral:lncRNA from 1 species
GUGGAAAAUCUACCUCACAACCCUGGCGUCCUGCUCCAGCCCCCGGGCGAGAGCCCGCUUGCUAUGUUCCCGGGGUCUUUGCAGCCACGCGGGCUGUCUGCGCCUGCGCCCGCGCCCAGGGCUCCGCGGCGGGGCGGGGCCGCUGAGGAAGGGCGUGUCUCCCGCCAGCGCGCUGGGGGCGGGGCCUAGGGGGGGCGGGCGGCGGCGACCCGCGGCCUGACCUUCCCGGGCGCUUGGUCCCGUGACGUCACCUCGCCGUGACGCGCACGCGGUAGGAAAACUAAGGAGGAUCUGGUGAUAUUUGUCAUGAGUGGAAUUAUGUGGAACAAUGUGGAAACACAGGAACUUGAACCAUACACACAAAAAUAGGAUUAAAAGGAUUUACCAUACAUCUUAUGACUCUUUACUGGAGCCUUGGGAGACAGCUCAAAUAAAUAUGUUAAUGUACGUUUCCAUGACAACCAUCACACAGCUGAAUUCUAAUUCUAACACCGACAAAUAGAUAAGGCACAGAGCCUUGCCACGUGUUGCCUGGAUACCGUGAUGCUGCUGCCUUCAAGAUGUCUUUGCUUUGCACUCCCUAAAGUCUCCCAGAGUUGGGUUGUAUCUUUUACAAUAAUAAGGGUUUUGGAAGGUAAGGUCCUUAAGUAAAAACA